GAUGAACGCUGGCGGCGUGCCUAAUACAUGCAAGUCGAGCGAACGGACGAGAAGCUUGCUUCUCUGAUGUUAGCGGCGGACGGGUGAGUAACACGUGGAUAACCUACCUAUAAGACUGGGAUAACUUCGGGAAACCGGAGCUAAUACCGGAUAAUAUUUUGAACCGCAUGGUUCAAACGUGAAAGACGGUCUUGCUGUCACUUAUAGAUGGAUCCGCGCUGCAUUAGCUAGUUGGUAAGGUAACGGCUUACCAAGGCAACGAUGCAUAGCCGACCUGAGAGGGUGAUCGGCCACACUGGAACUGAGACGCGGUCCAGACUCCUACGGGAGGCAGCAGUAGGGAAUCUUCCGCAAUGGGCGAAAGCCUGACGGAGCAACGCCGCGUGAGUGAUGAAGGUCUUCGGAUCGUAAAACUCUGUUAUUAGGGAAGAACAUAUGUGUAAGUAACUGUGCACAUCUUGACGGUACCUAAUCAGAAAGCCACGGCUAACUACGUG
rnacentral:rRNA from 1 species